rnacentral:tRNA from 1 species
GUUUCUGUAGUGUAGUGGUUAUCACGUUUGCCAAACACGCGAAAGGUCCCCGGUUCGAAACCGGCAGAAACU